ACAGAGAGCUGAAAUCCUGGAGAUAGGGAAAUGUUGUUAAAUCAGUGAAUGAGGGCAAUCUCCCACGGCACACUGGUUGAAAAACACUGCUGUAGAGUACAAACGAUGCAUUUUAUCUUCUACCUUGCUCUGAUGUUUGUAGGCUUUAGUUCAGACCCAGCAAUUCUGACCAACAAACAAACAAACGAUUGAAUCAGGGGGUCAGCUGACUGACCUCAUAGCUCUGGAGAAGCCCCUUUAGUGAUGAAGCCCCUUUAGUGAUCACACUAGAUCUGUACCACACUAGAAUUCUCUGAACUGCAGUCUGGCUCCCCUCUGCAAGCUGGCCUUGUCCCCAUUCACUUAUUCCUGCCAGGUCCCACCAGUGAAAACAGCCGUUUUUUCAAGAUAAACAGACUCGAGCGUGUCCGAGUCCUCUCAGUCUUCCAACAGCCAAAGCUGCAGAGCGGUUCCUGCAGGAAGUAGGAGCAGCAGCUCGGCUUCCAUCAGCCGCUCAGAGCACAUAAUCAGACUGAAACUGAUGACGUGUCUGCAGGAGCAGGGCUGACACGCUGGAAAAUGACUUUUCUCCUCCGUCAACUUCACUAACAUGAGGCCACAAAAACAGUGUCAGCUCUGAUCAACACUGAAACUGGCCACAUCCUGCUAAUGCUGCCCUCUAGUGUCCAUUUGAAGGACUUGAUCUUUCAUCUGUUUGCUAUGUAAAGACUGAAGCAGAAGCAGCUCGGUAAAGUCCAGAGGGAUCAGGGGCUUUUUUUUCUGUAGCAAAGCAAUAACCUUCCUUAUUUAUUGUCAUUUUAUCAAGAUUAUUUAAUCAAGCUGAGGUUUCCACCAGGAGUUUUGUGGAGGAUUUGUCCUUCUGCUGCUGGAUCCAGACGCUCAUGGAGGAAAACUCCCAACACCGCCUGUAGAGCCUCGGUUGUUUUUGCACUUUGCCUUUAGUGUCACUGAAACCUUUUUUAUUUUUUUUUAUACCACUCAAAAGUAAUGUUUUCCAUAUGGGACGUAUAUCAUUGUGACAUUGUACAUUUUAAAGGGAUGUGUCACUGAAAUGCAUUGAUGUCUUUAGUCUGAGUCUCAGACCUGCAGAAGGUUGUGACUGUAAGUUUUAGUGUAAAUCUUUUUUAUUAUGUGUCUAAGUUCCUCCACAGACGAUCACUGCAGGCAUGUGUGGAGGAAAACCUUCAUCCUCAGAGUGAUCCAACAGUCCGUGUGCCAGGGUCCCUUUGAGCAGACUUUCUCACGCUACCCAACACUGUUAUCCUCUUGUGCUCAUCAGCAGUCCAUUAACAGCUCUUGUACUUUGUUGUUGUUGUGUGAAGUAGGUGUGAGCUGUUGAUGAUUGUUCUGCAGCAGAGUUCUGUCAGUUUGGUGACAUGUUGAAUGCUGUUCUGUUGGUUUUACACCACCUCACUUCAGCCUCAUUUGACCUCCAUCAUCCCUGAAAGGGGUUAGGGUUUGACGUUUUUGAAGGUUUUAGUUGUUUCGGAUGGUUAGGACCAUCACCUCACAGCAAUAAGGUUCCCGAUUCUAAUUCCAGCUGCUUUUCUUGACUGGAGUUUGCAUGUUUUCUUCCUGUGAACAGCUGGGUUUUUCACAGAUGGUUUCUUCCCACAGUCCAAAAACGUGUUUCAUUGGUCCACAGGCGAUUCUAAAGACCGUGUCACACACCCACUACCUACAUUUUGCACAUUUUCCACAGAUGAAACUGGUCUUUUGUGAUAGAUGCUUGAUCACAUGUGUUUCUUUUGUUUGUCAUUCAUCGAUGUGCACAGAUUUGUUUCAAAGGUUUCGACUGACGGGUUUUUACCUGAAUUAGGUUUUGAGCUGUUCAAAAUUUUGGGUCGGUUGAGAAUUACGCAGUUGUAUUUUAUGUAGUUUAAACAAUAUUAUUACAUAAAUCUUAUGCAGUUUUUGUAAUUGUUGCAAGAUGUAAACGCAAAUUUGUGGCUUUCCACAACCGUUCCACAUAUGUGAACUUUUUACACAUGCACCACUGAUGUAUAACUUUUAUAUUGUUUAAAUGGUGCACACAUGACAGUAAAAUUAUGUAAUUUACGCACAAAUUACUAUUAACUUGCAUAUAAACAGCGCAGUCAUCACGCAUGGUUCAUGUUCUACGUAGAUGAACGUGUUCUUUGCGCAGUUUAUUCGUUCUUCGUCCGUGGUUUUAACUUGGUUUAUUUGUGAUACAUCUGUGAACAUUUUACGCAAAGACCACAACUUUUCUCAUGUAUGUUCACGUAUGACCAAUUUAGUAGCUGAGUAACACGGGCUUAGAGCUACGUACACAUCACCAUCUGAAAUGGGUCUGCAAGUGGGCUUUUCCGAUAAAAAGUCUUUGUAAAUGCCCGUUUCGGGCUUCCGCAUUACAAACUCUCACGUGUACCUACAUACGUUUUUACGACUUUUUUCGGGCUCUACGUACAAAACGCUUGGCCAUUGAAUGUGCGUUGCUAAACCAGGUUUGACUUGGACCAAUCAUGACCUUGGAUUUGGGCCUGUGAGUGACAUAAAUACCUCUAGAACUGGAGAAGGCGGUGAAACUCACCAAAUGCUGAGCGUUGUUGGUUUGUCUGCUGAACCCAGACACAGCGAUGAACCUGAUGAUGGCUGCGUUUGUUAAAAAUAAACCAGGACCACUCUCCUGACAUGAUGGUAAUCCAUAUCUGCCAUUACUAGGACACUAGCAAGGAAAUGAACCGUUUGGUUUUCAGGCCAAAAUUGGGAGAUUUGUACCACUAAGACGUUUGACACCAAGCCUCUUUCAACUGUAGGUGGACAUGCGCUAGUAUACAAAAGAAAAAGAAGAAGCCCCUCCCUGCUUGUCCAGUGUGAAAACCAUGGGCUAAACGUGCAUUCAAGAACACACCAAACGCAUGUUUUUGAAUGCACAUCAAAUACUCAAAACUGCCUCAAGAGGGGUGACUGUGUGGUCUGAGUUGAACUACGUUGAGUUGAACUAUGUUCAGGAUAUGUCCUGCCUCCACCCUCCUUCCUAACCUUAUAAAGAGGGUAACAAUAAUGGAUGGAUGUUCCACAUUCAAGAUAAGUUCAAUGGUGGAAAGGACGUUACUGAACUCUUUAAAAAAAAUGAACAAACAAGUGUGAAAGGAUCAUGAGAAUUGCCGGGUCAGCUGUCAGUCAAAAGGCCUGUUUGUGCUCCUGUUUGUAUCAACGUGAGGUUUAGAAAAAGUCAGUCCCGGUGAAGUUAUUAUUAAUCAAAUGUGCUUCAGUGUGAAAGUCAGGCAUUCCUCCCCUGGAUUUACCCUCUAAGAUACUAGCAGGAGUCAGUUGCAGUUCAUCAGCUGGCCACUAGAGGUGUGGUGUUUCAAUAAAAGGAGGGGGUUGGUUUUUAUUUACUGAAAAUGAAUUGAAGUUCUUUCGUUUUUUAAAGAAUGUUACUCUCACUCAUUUUUGGAAAGAUGGAUAAACAUGGAGCAGAAAAAAACCUGGCAAUGAUGAAAGGAAGACGUCACAUGACCAGAUCCAACAUCCUCAGUUAUCAAGUCAUUUUCACAACCAAUUUUCUUUAAAAAUAAAGAAGUUUUACCCUUAAAAAAUGAACCAAUAGUAAACCUUGAACACUGAUUACAUGACUCAUUCUCUACAUUAGAGAUUUCUGAUGUUAGUUCUAUGUAGCUUUUAUUCUUUCCGCUGACCUUCAUCCUCCUGUGCUUUUGUUUCACUGCUUGGUUUACCCGUCUCUCCUAUUUAUCAUUUUCUAUCAAAUAUUUCCCCAUUUGAGCACUGUGAACAUUUUAAAGGGACAUGAGUGUCAGUGUGUGUCUUCUUUCUGUAUUGACUUAGAUUUUUAUUUAAAUCUGUUGAAAAUGGAUCUUUAUGGAACGUUUUUGUACUUUUUCUUCAUUGACUGCAGCAGAUUAAAUCGCUGUUGUGUUGUUCAGCUGUUCAACCUUUUUACUGAACAUGUUGAUGCAGAAGCAGCGGUGCAGUUCACCGUUUGAUCGUUUUGAGUGAUUCAACCUGCUGCCAAAGCAGAUAUUGAGUGAAAAGAAGCCUUUGUGUGAAAGGAAAAGACCAGAUACUGUUCAAAAUGUCAAUGUUCAACAUGAAGUUUUUUAUUAAAAUGUGUUGAAGACAG